CUUGAGGCCAAGUAGACCUUACUUGACCUGACUCCACAGCUCAAAAUGUACACCUUUUAAUUGCUUGAGUCCAGGAGGCUAAGGUUGUAGUGAGCCAAGAUCAUGCCACUGCACUGUAGCCUGAGUGACAGAGUGAGACCCUGCCUCAAGGAAAAAAAAAAAAAAAGUAUACCUUUAAAAAUAUUCUAUAGAUUUUAAGAUAUUUUUAUCAACUCUUUCUGGUUAUGAAAGGAACAUAUGUUCAUUAUAGAAAACAGAGAAUACAGACAACUGUUUUCAAAAGGGUAAAACACCUAAUCCAACCACUCAGAACUAACUGGAGACUGGAGGAAGAAGAUCAUUAAUCCCUACUGUCCCCAGUAGAAGGUUGGCAGCAGCCUCUGGGAGAGGCCUGCCUGCCCCACCAGGGCCAAGGGUUUCUCCCACUCCAUCUGGCACUUGCUAAUAAGCAGCUCAUACCUGGGUGGCCCAGCAGCAGGCAGGCACCAGGCUUGGCAACAGCACGGCUCUCAGGAGGGGCCACCAGGGCAAAGCCCAGCACUGAUGGCCAUAGCUUUACCUGCCAGGAAGCCAAAUGCCACCCUAGUUGCUGGGGUGUCCCGGAGCUGUGAAUCUGCCUCCUAGCUACAGAAGCUGAACACCCGUGAGGCACCAUCCCAGGGCACCUAUGGACCAGGAGCAGACAGAGCCUAACAGGCCCCUGAUGGGGAAGAAAGGAUUUCAGUGGCAUUCAUGGGGAGGACAGUGGUUGAAAGUCAGAAUAUUCCUCUCCAAGUAGCAGAUAUGCAAUAAUGAGGCGAUUCCGAGUGAUGGCUAUGACUGAUGGGAAGAUUUGCUCAUCAUUUGGGGAGAAUGAUGGGAAGCUCCAAAAUCAAUUUCCUCCUUCCUGGAGGCUUGCAGGAAUGAUGAUCUCAUCUCUCAUGUGUGCAGCCUGGGCCUCUCAAUCCUUACAAUGGCCCUGAGGCAGCAUACAUUAAGCCCUUUUACAAAUGAGGAAACUGGAUCAGAGAGAUUAAUUAACUUGCCCAAGAUCACACAGUUAAUACCCAGCAGACCCAGAGCAUGAGACCAUGGCUGAUUCCAAGUCCUGCUUUCUUGCUAGCCUCCCUUCGCUCCCUUUAAAGUAUAAAAUGCUCUUCCAUUGACCUAUGCACUAAGUUGUGGCAGUUAGUCAGUCAGCCAGUCUGUUAGCUGGUUGGUUAGUUACCUUUUCUCUCUGACACUCUGUCCCACUUGUUGCUAGGUUUUAUGGGAAGAACAGCAUCUUAGGCUUGGUCUUGUGGGGGCUCAGGUGGACAUCAGCUCCUAGUGCCUGCCCAGCCUGUUCCUCUCCCUCCGUGCACCUCUCUUUUAUGGUAGCUGCAGAGUGAAGCAUUCUGGACCCAUCCCAUCUUCCCCUGGCCCUGCCCUUUCCACAGGUAACUACCUGAUCAUGCCCUCAGGGAACCUCCAGAUUGUGAAUGCCAGCCAGGAGGACGAGGGCACGUACAAGUGUGCAGCCUACAACCCAGUGACCCAGGAAGUGAAAACCUCCGGCUCCAGCGACAGGCUACGUGUGCGCCGUAAGGCCCGGGCCCACCUGCUGGGGGACGGGGGAUCAUUGACGGAAGGGCCCACAAAGAUGGAAAGGGAGGUAGAUACCUGGAGGUGCCACAUCCAAACUCCAGUUCUGUGUGCACUGGCUUUGGCCAGGGGGACAGCCAGGGGUUCCCAGCCAGGGGUUGUCUCCCCUCUGGCCAUUCUCAGGGCCAGCGUCUCACAGCACGCAGCCCCAGGCGACUGUGCCUGCUGCCACACCUGCCUGAUGGGAGGUUUCCUUCACGCUUACUUUGCGAUUGGGAUGGGUCAGAAUGUGUGUGCUGGGACAGGACGGUGGGUCUUGUCUCAAGCUCAGCAGAGGACACAGCAUGUGCCUAGAACAGAUGGCCACGUGGGAGGCCUCCAGGCUGCUGUUCUGCCCUACGUGAGGUCCCUGGGCCUGCACUCUCUGCACUGAUGAGGUGUGCCCAGCACCACCCUCUGGUGAGCUUCCAGGAGGCCCACAUGCUCUCAAUGCACAGGAAAACAGCAGCUACCUUUCCGUGUGCUUGCCUGGAGUCCCUGCCUAUUCAAAGGAGUGACAUCUUACACGGAGUUAGGCUUAGAGUUGGCACCAGAGAUGGAAUCACUGUGAAGCUAAUGAAGUUAAACUUCCAUGGUCCUUCACUCACUGACAGAGGCCUUACAAGGCCCUAACUUUGUAUGUAUCAUUUUCCAUUCUUUUUGGGACCUCCAAAACUGUAUAAAUUUCAGGUUUUAGAAAACCCGGGUCUGCCCCUGGUUGGCAUAUAAAGCAGAAUCACACAUGGUCCCUUUGCUCCUUGAAGAUCACUGAGGAACAGCACACAUUGGAGAGUAAAUGUGCCUUUCAGUGAGUUCUCUGCAGUUUGUCCACAGUGUUGAAAAAAGAUUACAGCUUUCCCAGCUGUGCACCUGAGGAAGUACAUAGGUGAUUUGCAUUUGGGGACCUUGCAAUAUGAGAAAUGCAUGUGUUUAAACAGUGGAUUCCAUUCAGCUCAGCCGGAGGCCGGCUCUGAGAUGCUCACUGUGAGAGACAGUUGGGCCUGAGAACCAUAGGGUGGGGUUGAGAGCAUGGCAGAUUCUUGUUUCCCAUCUCAUCUUCAGCCUCACGGUGCACUUACUGAGUGCAAGCAGAAAGAAAUAUCUGUACCAUUUAAAUUGCCUCUCCACUCCCUCACCUUUCUCUCUUUGCCAGCACACAUAGUUAACUGUGCAUAUGUUGUGUUGAUGCUGCUGUUCUUCUGUACUAUCUCAUUUCUUACUCAUAACAGCUCCCUGCAGAAGCAGCCCUUGUUUCUGAUAAGGACACCAAACCCCAAGGGAAUUCUGUAGCACGCCCCACUCUACAUAGGUUGAAAGACCCGGAAUGGCUGUUUGAUCCCAUCUCCAUGCUCUCUGGGACUGCCUCCUAGGGAUGCUCUAGAGGACAUCCUGGUCCACAUGCCUUCUGUCCUUGCCCUCCUUGCCCCUCCAGGCUCCACCGCUGAGGCUGCCCGCAUCAUCUACCCCCCAGAGGCCCAAACCAUCAUCGUCACCAAAGGCCAGAGUCUCAUUCUGGAGUGUGUGGCCAGUGGAAUCCCACCCCCACGGGUCACCUGGGCCAAGGAUGGGUCCAGUGUUGCCGGCUACAACAAGACGCGCUUCCUGCUGAGCAACCUCCUCAUCGACACCACCAGCGAGGAGGACUCAGGCACCUACCGCUGCAUGGCCGACAAUGGGGUUGGGCAGCCCGGGGCAGCGGUCAUCCUCUACAAUGUCCAGGUGUUCGAACCCCCUGAGGUCACCAUGGAGCUGUCCCAGCUGGUCAUCCCCUGGGGCCAGAGUGCCAAGCUUACCUGUGAGGUGCGUGGGAACCCCCCGCCCUCCGUGCUGUGGCUGAGGAAUGCCGUACCCCUCAUCUCCAGCCAGCGCCUCCGGCUCUCCCGCAGGGCCCUGCGCGUGCUCAGCAUGGGGCCUGAGGACGAAGGCGUCUACCAGUGCAUGGCCGAGAACGAGGUCGGGAGCGCCCAUGCCGUAGUCCAGCUGCGGACCUCCAGGCCAAGCAUAACCCCGAGGCUAUGGCAGGAUGCUGAGCUGGCUACUGGCACACCUCCUAUACCACCCUCCAAACCCGGCAACCCUGAGCAGAUGCUGAGGGGGCAACCGGCGCUCCCCAGACCCCCAACAUCAGUGUGGCCUGGUUCCCCACAGUGUCCAGGAGAGAAGGGGCAGGGGGCUCCCGCCGAGGCUCCCAUCAUCCUCAGCUCGCCCCGCACCUCCAAGACAGACUCAUAUGAACUGGUGUGGCGGCCUCGGCAUGAGGGCAGUGGCCGGGCACCAAUCCUCUACUAUGUGGUGAAACACCGCAAGGUCACAAACUCCUCUGACGAUUGGACCAUCUCUGGCAUUCCAGCCAACCAGCACCGCCUGACCCUCACCAGACUCGACCCCGGGAGCUUGUAUGAAGUGGAGAUGGCGGCUUACAACUGUGCAGGCGAGGGCCAGACAGCCAUGGUCACCUUCCGAACUGGACGGCGGCCCAAACCCGAGAUCAUGGCCAGCAAGGAGCAGCAGAUCCAGAGGGAUGACCCUGGAGCCAGUCCCCAGAGCAGCAGCCAGCCAGACCACGGCCGUCUCUCCCCCCCAGAAGCUCCCGACAGGCCCACCAUCUCCAUGGCCUCCGAGACCUCGGUGUACGUGACCUGGAUUCCCCGUGGGAAUGGUGGGUUCCCGAUCCAGUCCUUCCGUGUGGAGUACAAGAAGCUAAAGAAAGUGGGAGACUGGAUUCUGGCCACCAGCGCCAUCCCCCCAUCGCGGCUGUCCGUGGAGAUCACAGGCCUAGAGAAAGGCACCUCCUACAAGUUUCGAGUCCGGGCUCUGAACAUGCUGGGGGAGAGCGAGCCCAGCGCCCCCUCUCGGCCCUACGUGGUGUCGGGCUACAGCGGCCGCAUGUACGAGAGGCCCGUGGCAGGUCCUUAUAUCACCUUCACGGAUGCGGUCAAUGAGACCACCAUCAUGCUCAAGUGGAUGUACAUCCCAGCAAGUAACAACAACACCCCAAUCCAUGGCUUUUAUAUUUAUUAUCGGCCCACAGACAGUGACAAUGAUAGUGACUACAAGAAGGAUAUGGUGGAAGGGGACAGGUACUGGCACUCCAUCAGCCACCUGCAGCCAGAGACGUCCUACGACAUUAAGAUGCAGUGCUUCAAUGAAGGAGGGGAGAGUGAGUUCAGCAACGUGAUGAUCUGUGAGACCAAAGCUCGGAAGUCUUCUGGCCAGCCUGGUCGACUGCCACCCCCAACUCUGGCCCCACCACAGCCGCCCCCUCCUGAAACCAUAGAGCGGCCGGUGGGCACUGGGGCCAUGGUGGCUCGCUCCAGUGACCUGCCCUAUCUGAUUGUCGGGGUCGUCCUGGGCUCCAUCGUUCUCAUCAUCGUCACCUUCAUCCCCUUCUGCUUGUGGAGGGCCUGGUCUAAGCAAAAAUAUACAACAGACCUGGGUUUUCCUCGAAGUGCCCUUCCACCCUCCUGCCCAUAUACUAUGGUGCCAUUGGGAGGACUCCCAGGCCACCAGGCCAGCGGACAGCCCUACCUCAGUGGCAUCAGUGGACGGGCCUGUGCUAAUGGGAUCCACAUGAAUAGGGGCUGCCCCGUGGCUUCAGUGGGCUACUCAGGCAUGAAGCCGCAGCAGCACUGUCCAGGCGAGCUUCAGCAGCAGAGUGACACCAGCAGCCUGCUGAGGCAGACCCAUCUUGGCAAUGGAUAUGACCCCCAAAGUCACCAGAUCACGAGGGGUCCCAAGUCUAGCCCGGACGAGGGCUCUUUCUUAUACACACUGCCCGACGACUCCACUCACCAGCUGCUGCAGCCCCAUCACGACUGCUGCCAACGCCAGGAGCAGCCUGCUGCUGUGGGCCAGUCAGGGGUGAGGAGAGCACCCGACAGUCCUGUCCUGGAAGCAAUGUGGGACCCUCCAUUUCACUCAGGGCCCCCAUGCUGCUUGGGCCUUGUACCAGUUGAAGAGGUGGACAGUCCCGACUCCUGCCAAGUGAGUGGAGGAGACUGGUGUCCCCAGCACCCCAUAGGGGCCUACGUAGGACAGGAACCUGGAAUGCAGCUCUCCCUGGGGCCACCGGUGCAUGUGUCUUUUGAAACACCACCUCCCACAAUUUAGGCAGAAGCCAAUAUCCCAGAAAGACUAUAUAUUGUUUUUUUUUU
rnacentral:sRNA from 1 species